GGGGCCGAAUGGAAUCGACAGGAAGUGUGAAUACUGUAUUUGCGUGUCGGGUGAUGAGUGUACAUCCGUAAUCAAAGCACUUAAAUUUUAAUUGGCGAAGAUUCUUACGCCAUGGCUGCUUAAUUUAACUUUUUAGUUAAAUACAGGUUUAAACGGUUGAGCGUCUAGCGAUGUUCCCGGGCCACAUCCUACCUUGCUUUCGCCUUUUGAGCGAGGAAUUAGGGUGUCGUAUAAAAGGCUAGCGCUGUGAGGUUACUAAGCAGUUGCGAAAUUUAGUGACUGGCAGAAAAGGUAGGUUGUUAUUUACCAGCCCUUCUGUAAGAUAUAAUAAAUAACUACACAUGUAGACGAUGCAAUGUUUCCUUAGCUGGACGCGGGUUCGAAUCCCGCCGGCUCCACAU
rnacentral:tmRNA from 1 species